rnacentral:rRNA from 1 species
AUGCAGCCGACGCCCGCGUGAGGGAUGACGGCCUUCGGGUUGUAAACCUCUUUCAGUAGGGAAGAAGCGAAAGUGACGGUACCUGCAGAAGAAGCACCGGCUAACUACGUGCCAGCAGCCGCGGUAAUACGUAGGGUGCGAGCGUUAUCCGGAAUUAUUGGGCGUAAAGAGCUCGUAGGCGGUUUGUCGCGUCUGUCGUGAAAGUCCGGGGCUUAACCCCGGAUCUGCGGUGGGUACGGGCAGACUAGAGUGCAGUAGGGGAGACUGGAAUUCCUGGUGUAGCGGUGGAAUGCGCAGAUAUCAGGAGGAACACCGAUGGCGAAGGCAGGUCUCUGGGCUGUAACUGACGCUGAGGAGCGAAAGCAUGGGGAGCGAACAGGAUUAGAUACCCUGGUAGUCCAUGCCGUAAACGUUGGGCACUAGGUGUGGGGACCAUUCCACGGUUUCCGCGCCGCAGCUAACGCAUUAAGUGCCCCGCCUGGGGAGUACGGCCGCAAGGCUAAAACUCAAAGGAAUUGACGGGGGCCCGCACAAGCGGCGGAGCAUGCGGAUUAAUUCGAUGCAACGCGAAGAACCUUACCAAGGCUUGACAUGUUCUCGAUCGCCGUAGAGAUACGGUUUCCCCUUUGGGGCGGGUUCACAGGUGGUGCAUGGUUGUCGUCAGCUCGUGUCGUGAGAUGUUGGGUUAAGUCCCGCAACGAGCGCAACCCUCGUUCCAUGUUGCCAGCACGUAAUGGUGGGGACUCAUGGGAGACUGCCGGGGUCAACUCGGAGGAAGGUGAGGACGACGUCAAAUCAUCAUGCCCCUUAUGUCUUGGGCUUCACGCAUGCUACAAUGGCCGGUACAAUGGGUUGCGAUACUGUGAGGUGGAGCUAAUCCCAAAAAGCCGGUCUCAGUUCGGAUUGGGGUCUGCAACUCGACCCCAUGAAGUCGGAGUCGCUAGUAAUCGCAGAUCAGCAACGCUGCGGUGAAUACGUUCCCGGGCCUUGUACACACCGCCCGUCAAGUCACGAAAGUUGGUAACACCCGAAGCCGGUGGCCUAACCCUUGUGGGGGGAGCCGUCGAAGGUGGGACCAGCGAUUGGGACUAAGUCGUACCA